rnacentral:rRNA from 1 species
AGAGCGAACGCUGGCGGCAGGCCUAACACAUGCAAGUCGAACGGACCCUUCGGGGUUAGUGGCGGACGGGUGAGUAACACGUGGGAACGUGCCUUUAGGUUCGGAAUAGCUCCUGGAAACGGGUGGUAAUGCCGAAUGUGCCCUUCGGGGGAAAGAUUUAUCGCCUUUAGAGCGGCCCGCGUCUGAUUAGCUUGUUGGUGAGGUAAUGGCUCACCAAGGCUACGAUCAGUAGCUGGUCUGAGAGGAUGACCAGCCACAGUUGGGACUGAGACACGGCCCAAACUCCUACGGGAGG